GUUCAGGCGCGUAAAUACUGUUCGCUGCUCCGACGGGCUUGUUCAGUCAAAGAAACGCAUUUUAUAAAUAAACUGUUCACACAGAGACAUCCAGAAUACAACCGAACAGUUCUGAACACCACCAGGCCACGCCACGUGCAGAAAAACAGCCGAGUAAUAAACAACGUAAACAGGGCAGGAAAAUAUGACAUUUUGUUAACGGACAUUCGGACGAGAUCGUUUCAACUCGUACGGCGGGGAAAGUGAUGAGCGGCGUCGGCCGAGACGACUCCUGUUUAUUCGUAAAGACCUAACAUUUGUCCCCCAUUUCCAAACUGCGGCCAGAUGAGCUACACGAACCAGAACAGUCAAUUUUGUCUCCUGCCGGAGCUUCGGGCGUCUGACCCGGGCUAUUGUCAGCCAUAGCUGCCGCCUGGCAGGAAGGCUGCUACGGGGCUCUGCUCCGACCCGGGUCGUGAUUUUUUAACCGUCCUCUGUAAAAACAGCCGCUAAAAAUCAGGAAAAGCGGCUGAAAUACACCAUUUACCCACAGUUUAGCGGCCUCUCUUCAGAUGUAGACGGGCGACGGAGAGCCACAAAGCUGUCAAACGCAGCCCAGUCCUCGCCAUUUUUGUUUGUUUCCCAAACAUGCAAACGGCCACAAAAACAGCUCGGAGAGCGAUCUGGCCUUACCUGCCGUGGAACCAGUCCUUGCAAGCAUCGCACUCGAUCAUAAAUUGGGUCACGUCGUAAG